GACGAACGCUGGCGGCGUGCCUAAUACAUGCAAGUUGAGCGCUGAAGGUUGGUACUUGUACCAACUGGAUGAGCAGCGAACGGGUGAGUAACGCGUGGGGAAUCUGCCUUUGAGCGGGGGACAACAUUUGGAAACGAAUGCUAAUACCGCAUAAAAACUUUAAACACAAGUUUUAAGUUUGAAAGAUGCAAUUGCAUCACUCAAAGAUGAUCCCGCGUUGUAUUAGCUAGUUGGUGAGGUAAAGGCUCACCAAGGCGAUGAUACAUAGCCGACCUGAGAGGGUGAUCGGCCACAUUGGGACUGAGACACGGCCCAGACUCCUACGGGAGGCAGCAGUAGGGAAUCUUCGGCAAUGGACGAAAGUCUGACCGAGCAACGCCGCGUGAGUGAAGAAGGUUUUCGGAUCGUAAAACUCUGUUGGUAGAGAAGAACGUUGGUGAGAGUGGAAAGCUCAUCAAGUGACGGUAACUACCCAGAAAGGGACGGCUAACUACGU
rnacentral:rRNA from 1 species